CGAACUGCGCCAACCGGAGAUUGUGACUGUGUGCAGUUUCUUUGAAGAGUUGAAGUAGAAAUGAAAAAAGGUGGCGAUUCCGUCGGAGUUUAGUUUUAGGCACAUGUGUGGCUUAGAAAUGUUGGCGCGGUGAAACCACUAAACAGCGGCUGGUCGCGCAGGAUUAUGUGCGAGGAAAACUGCGAUUGGUUGACGAAUGGAAAUCCGUGGAAAGUAUUCCGAGAUGCGGUAAAUACCAGUGUACAAAAAAAGGUUUCAUCGUUUUUCCAUUCCCCUCCGGUGCAUCGUACCACUUUCAAAUUUUGUCUUGGUACAGAGUGGAGCUCUCAAUUGGCAUGGCGAAGAGAACUUUUGCAAAUAUUUCUCCUCUUCCCAUCUUCGAUAUACGUAUAUACACACACGGACGAGCUAUCUUCACUGUGAAGACCCCCUGAGGGAAAUAAUUCGAAAGAGUUGGAAGUCGUUCGCGUGCUUAUCUCCCGGAUCUUGGCAGUCGCGAUGCUGCGCUAUAUUUCUGCUCGAGAGAAGUGUCUUAUUGAUCCGCAAAGAAGAAACAUAAAAACAAAAAAUGAAACAGAAAUAAUAAAAUACAAAGAGAAGCAAUGAAGAGGAAUGAAAAAAUGGAUCGUGUACGACGAUCUCAUUUAAUCGGGUACGCGCUGUUGCAGUACACAGCACAGAUAUCUAAGAUUCGGUCCAGAGACAGCAGACCAAUUGGUACUUGCUGUGGCACUUAUGCUGUCAAUCGUCGGGGAGUCUUUUUUUGAGACGCCAUUUUGCGACCGCUCCUCUGCUUUAUAAAAUCUACUGAAAAUAAAAAAUAAAACAUUUCCUUUUAUACUGCAUUACUUCACCAACUAAUACACAAUAUUUCAAAUAAUUUGAUCGAGCCGUUGUUUCAAAGAAAAUUCCCAAAAACUACCUCAUUUUUCAGCCUGUCACACCGAUAGUCCCCCUCAAUUUAUAAUAAAAUGAAAAAGCUUUCUGUUUCAA